UCCGUGUUAACCACGGCAGUCUCUUUAGAGUGCCCAACUGAAUGCUGGCAACUAAAGACAAGGGUUGCGCUCGUUGCGGGACUUAACCCAACAUGUCACCACACGAGCUGACGACAGCCAUGCAGCACCUGUCACCCUGUCGUAUUGCUACGAAAGACGUAUCUCUACGUUUGUCAGGGGAUGUCAAACCCAGGUAAGGUUUUUCGCGUUGCUUCGAAUUAAACCACAUGAUCCACCGCUUGUGCGGGCCCCCGUCAAUUCCUUUGAGUUUUAGUCUUGCGACCGUACUUCCCAGGCGGGAUACUUAUUGCGUUAGCUCCGGCUCUGCGGGGGUCAAGACCCACAAAGCCUAGUAUCCAUCGUUUACGGCGUGGACUAC
rnacentral:misc_RNA from 1 species